rnacentral:rRNA from 1 species
AGGACGAACGCUGGCGGCGUGCUUAACACAUGCAAGUCGAGCGGAAAGGCCUUUCGGGGUACUCGAGCGGCGAACGGGUGAGUAACACGUGAGUAAUCUGCCCAUCGCUUCAGGAUAGCCAUCGGAAACGGUGAUUAAUACUGGAUAUGACAUUCCUUCGCAUGUUGGGGUGUGGAAAGUUUUUUCGGCGGUGGAUGUGCUCGCGGCCUAUCAGCUUGUUGGUGGGGUAAUGGCCUACCAAGGCUUUGACGGGUAGCCGGCCUGAGAGGGUGACCGGCCACACGUGGGACU